AGCGAACGCUGGCGGCAGGCCUAACACAUGCAAGUCGAACGGAUCCUUCGGGAUUAGUGGCGGACGGGUGAGUAACACGUGGGAACGUGCCCUUUGGUUCGGAACAACUCAGGGAAACUUGAGCUAAUACCGGGAUGUGCCCUUCGGGGGAAGGAUUUAUCGCCAUUAGAGCGGCCCGCGUCUGAUUAGCUAGUUGGUUGAGGUAAAGGCUCACCAAGGCUACGAUCAGUAGCUGGUCUGAGAGGAUGAUCAGCCACAUUGGGACUGAGACACGGCCCAAACUCCUACGGGAGGCAGCAGUGGGGAAUCUUGCGCAAUGGGCGAAAGCCUGACGCAGCCAUGCCGCGUGAAUGAUGAAGGUCUUAGGAUUGUAAAAUUCUUUCAGCAGGGACG
rnacentral:rRNA from 1 species